UACGAAGGAUCCAAGCGUUAUCCGGAUUUAUUGGGUUUAAAGGGUGCGUAGGCGGGCUAUUAAGUCAGUGGUGAAAGCCCCAAGCUUAACUUGGGAAUUGCCAUUGAUACUGAUGGUCUUGAGUACACUUGAAGUGGGCGGAAUGUGUCAUGUAGCGGUGAAAUGCGUAGAUAUCGGGAGGAACACCUGUGGCGAAAGCGGCUCACUGGACCACAACUGACGCUGAUGCGCGAAAGCUAGGGGAGCAAACAGG
rnacentral:rRNA from 1 species